UUUGACACUGACCUACCGGUUUAUCGAGGUGAAAUGUAUUGAACUCUUCGGAACAGGCCAUUUAGUGAAGAAUUAGCCUAGCCUACACCACUCACUACAUCCAUCGUUGGAAUCUACUAUGCAGUUUAGCCUACUUAAUUGCAGAAUACAUGGGUUUGACUUAAUCGUAGAAGACAUGGUUUCGUGUAGCCUAUGCACUGUCGCACGAAAGGAUUAUUGAGACGGAGCGUUGAAAACUUCAGAAGGACGAAUGAAAAGGAAGAGAAAGAGACAGCGUUGAGGCCAGAGGCUGGAGACAGGAAGGAGGAGGCCGAGUGGGAGGCCUGUUUCUGGAGUGCCACACAGAACCACAAAGGCUCCGUCCCCAGGAGGAGGUUUCGGAGGUGAAGACACAGCAGCAGACGGCUGACAAGGACGAGACCAUCAAUAAAAUCCAUACCAGAAGUCA